rnacentral:rRNA from 1 species
CCUACGGGAGGCAGCAGUGGGGAAUCUUGCGCAAUGGGCGAAAGCCUGACGCAGCCAUGCCGCGUGAAUGAUGAAGGUCUUAGGAUUGUAAAAUUCUUUCACCGAGGACGAUAAUGACGGUACUCGGAGAAGAAGCCCCGGCUAACUUCGUGCCAGCAGCCGCGGUAAUACGAAGGGGGCUAGCGUUGCUCGGAAUUACUGGGCGUAAAGGGAGCGUAGGCGGAUAGUUUAGUCAGAGGUGAAAGCCCAGGGCUCAACCUUGGAAUUGCCUUUGAUACUGGCUAUCUUGAGUACGGAAGAGGUAUGUGGAACUCCGAGUGUAGAGGUGAAAUUCGUAGAUAUUCGGAAGAACACCAGUGGCGAAGGCGACAUACUGGUCCGUUACUGACGCUGAGGCUCGAAAGCGUGGGGAGCAAACAGGAUUAGAUACCCUGGUAGUCCACGCUGUAAACGAUGAGUGCUAGUUGUCGGCAUGNAUGCAUGUCGGUGACGCAGCUACGCAUAAGACACUCCGCCGUCGGGGUAGGUACGGUCGCGAGAAUUAAACUAACAAGUAAGUAGUAGACGCGAGACGAGCGACGACGACGACGACGGAGGAGGAGG